GAUGAAGAACGCAGCGAAAUGCGAUAAGUAAUGUGAAUUGCAGAAUUCAGUGAAUCAUCGAAUCUUUGAACGCACAUUGCGCCCGCCAGUAUUCUGGCGGGCAUGCCUGUUCGAGCGUCAUUACAACCCUCAGGCCCCCGGGCCUGGCGUUGGGGAUCGGCGGAGCCCCCCGUGGGCACACGCCGUCCCCCAAAUACAGUGGCGGUCCCGCCGCAGCUUCCAUCGCGUAGUAGCUAACACCUCGCGACUGGAGAGCGGCGCGGCCACGCCGUAAAACACCCAACUCUUCUGAAGUUGACCUCGAAUCAGGUAGGAAUACCCGCUGAACUUAAGCAUAUCAAUAAGCGGAGGA
rnacentral:misc_RNA from 1 species